GCUUUUAUACAGUACCUCAUUACCUGAAUUCGUAUUUGACUAUUUCCCCUUUCUAAUAAAGCUUACAUUUGAGUCUGGACUGAUAACAAGAGACUCUGAACUCUGCUGAAAUGUACUUUGCUUCUUCUGUCUGACAGAUUUAUCAUGAUUUUAUGGAGCUGAUGUCAGCGAAGGUAACAUAGUACUAGCAAUGCAGUUUUGAUAAUGUGCAAGAGAGUUGUAGCUAAUGUCAGACAUUCAAUUGAAUCACAAAGCCGCCAGUCCAUGUUUUAUUGGGAGUUCAUUUGUUGCAAUGCUGCUUGGAUUUGUUGUUAUUAUUAUUAUUUUUUUAAAAAAAUACCAAUUGUGCAUUUCCUUUCUAUUGUGACAUAAAAAUAAGCAACCUAAUGGUUGCCUGGAAAAGUUUAUAUGCUUAAUGUUAGGCAUUCAGAAACUUGUGGCAAGUAUUGUGGGAUUUUGUAACAGAAUGGUAGAUUUUUGUAAGUAUGGCUUAUAGAGAUAAAUUGCUUGCCAAGUUACUUUGUUAUUGGAACAACCACGCAUCCAUUAAGGCAUUUAAGCAAAUGAACCAAUGUAUUUGUCAUGUCCUUAAUCGAUUAAAUAAAGUGGUAAGAGAUUUAUUUUUCAAAAUGCACCCACUUAAAAAUGACAAUUUUAGGAAAGGCUGUUGAAGAAAACAAAGACACGUUUUUAGACAUUGAGACUUGCAAUCCAACUAAAAAUAAUGAUCUUUAAUGAUAAGAAUAAGUCAAAGUAUGUAUGAUAUGCACAUAAUAAUAGGUUUGGGAAUUACUUAAGUUAUGUCUGAUUUUUUUCUGUGAGAAGUAAAGUGGGGAAGAUCCUUGACUGGGACUCCUGCCUAAGAUAACAUGGAUUUAAGACAACUGAAAUUUACUUGGAAUUCAUGUUAACAAAAUACAGCUGAGGGAUGGGAGUUACGAAGGCAUGGAGGUGGUUUUGAAUGAAUUCUUUAGUUGAUUGGCCAGAGACCAGGUUUUUACACUACUGGUUGCUGCCUUUUACCUGAUGUCAAACCGUCCCAUUUGGCACAUUAUUAUUACCUUUAUUGUCGGAGUACAACAGGUGUACAAUGAGAUUGGCUGAGCCUCCCUUUGUGCACUCCCCCCAACACAACCCACACUGAGGACAGAAGUCCCUAACUCAGUC